UUACAAGAUGACUGUGGAAACAUAUUUCUCUGUUAGAAGCAGGAUAAAUGUGUUGAUUUGAAGGAAAGACGGGCAGAUUCUGGGGUUUGUGCUCUAAAAUGAGUCUCUCUGGGGAGAGAGAGGAGGGGGGCCCAGCCUCUAAAAUGAGACUCUCUCGGGGGAGAGAGGAGGGGGGCCCAGCCUCUAAAAUGAGCCUCUCUCGGGGGAGAGAGGAGGGGGGCCCUGCCUCUACAAUGACUCUCUUUCUGGAACAUGACACCAGAGCUAAGAGCCCAAUCAAGCAGGAGAGACCAGCCUCCCCUGUUCCCAGCUGUGUGUCCAUGAAGAGUGACCAGUCUAUGAGUCAACCUUUACAGUUUAGAGAGGGAGACUUUUCUACUGAACCAAGAAAUCAACAAAAGAGAUCAGAGUCAGAGAUUCUCAGUGGUCAGCCUUCCCAGAGUCAUCAAACAGACCUGGACUCCAUAU